UACAGAGGUCUCAAGCGUUGUUCGGAUUUAUUGGGCGUAAAGGGUGCGUAGGUGGCGAUGUAAGUCUGGUGUGAAAUCUCGGGGCUCAACCUCGAAAUUGCAUUGGAUACUGCGUUGCUUGAGGAUUGUAGAGGAGAGUGGAAUUCACGGUGUAGCAGUGAAAUGCGUAGAUAUCGUGAGGAAGACCAGUUGCGAAGGCGACUCUCUGGGCAAUUACUGACACUGAGGCACGAAGGCCAGGGGAGCAAACGGG
rnacentral:rRNA from 1 species